GGCUCCUUGUAGUUACUAAAUGGGGAGUCGGACCUGCCCAGUGAAUUUUUUCAACGGCCGCGGUACUCUGACCGUGCAAAGGUAGCAUAAUCAUUUGCCUUAUAAUUGAAGGCUUGUAUGAACGGUUUGACAAGAAUGUAGCUGUCUCUUUAUAAUUAAGUAAAAUUUUAUUUACAGGUGAAGAAGCCUGUAUUAUAUUGAAAGACAAGAAGACCCUAUCGAGCUUUAAAAGAAUUAAUAAAUUUUAAAUAUUUAAUAUUAUAUAAAAAAUUAGUUAUUAAAAAUUUUGGUUGGGGCGACUAAGGAACAAAUAAAGCUUCCUUUUUUUAAAAAACAAUCAGGUAGUGAUCCAAAAACUUUGAUUAAAGAAUUUAGUUACCGUAGGGAUAACAGCAUUAUCUUUUUUGAGAGCUCUAAUCGAAAAAAAGGUUUGUGACCUCGAUGUUGGACCAGAAUAUCCCGAAGAUGUAGCCGUCUUCAAAGGUUGGUCUGUUCGACCAUUAAAAUUCU
rnacentral:rRNA from 1 species